CAGCAGCCGCGGGAAUACGUAGGGUGCAAGCGUUAAUCGGAAUUACUGGGCGUAAAGCGUGCGCAGGCGGUUAUAUAAGACAGAUGUGAAAUCCCCGGGCUCAACCUGGGAACUGCAUUUGUGACUGUAUAGCUAGAGUACGGCAGAGGGGGAUGGAAUUCCGCGUGUAGCAGUGAAAUGCGUAGAUAUGCGGAGGAACACCGAUGGCGAAGGCAAUCCCCUGGGCCUGUACUGACGCUCAUGCACGAAAGCGUGGGGAGCAAACAGGAUUAGAUACCCGAGUAGUCCCUGUCUCUUAUAA
rnacentral:rRNA from 1 species